rnacentral:rRNA from 1 species
GACGAACGCUGGCGGCGUGCUUAACACAAGCAAGUCGAACGGAAAGGCCCUGCUUUUGUGGGGUGCUCGAGUGGCGAACGGGUGAGUAACACGUGAGUAACCUGCCCUUGACUUUGGGAUAACUUCAGGAAACUGGGGCUAAUACCGGAUAGGAGCUCCUGCUGCAUGGUGGGGGUUGGAAAGUUUCGGCGGUUGGGGAUGGACUCGCGGCUUAUCAGCUUGUUGGUGGGGUAGUGGCUUACCAAGGCUUUGACGGGUAGCCGGCCUGAGAGGGUGACCGGCCACAUUGGGACUGAGAUACGGCCCAGACUCCUACGGGAGGCAGCAGUGGGGAAUAUUGCACAAUGGGCGGUAGUCUGAUGCAGCAACGCCGCGUGCGGGAUGACGGCCUUCGGGUUGUAAACCGCUUUCGCCUGUGACGAAGCGUGAGUGACGGUAAUGGGUAAAGAAGCACCGGCUAACUACGUG